AGUGAACGCUGGCGGUAGGCCUAACACAUGCAAGUCGAACGGCAGCACAGUAAGAGCUUGCUCUUACGGGUGGCGAGUGGCGGACGGGUGAGGAAUACAUCGGAAUCUACUUUUUCGUGGGGGAUAACGUAGGGAAACUUACGCUAAUACCGCAUACGACCUACGGGUGAAAGCAGGGGAUCUUCGGACCUUGCGCGAUUGAAUGAGCCGAUGUCGGAUUAGCUAGUUGGCGGGGUAAAGGCCCACCAAGGCGACGAUCCGUAGCUGGUCUGAGAGGAUGAUCAGCCACACUGGAACUGAGAAACGGUCCAGACUCCUAAGGGAGGCAGCAGUGGGGAAUAUUGGACCAUGGGCGCAAGCCUGAUCCAGCCAUACCGCGUGGGUGAAGAAGGCCUUCGGGUUGUAAAGCCCUUUUGUUGGGAAAGAAAAGCAGCAGGUUAAUACCCCGCUGUUCUGACGGUACCCAAAGAAUAAGCACCGGCUAACUUCGUG
rnacentral:rRNA from 1 species